rnacentral:rRNA from 1 species
CGUAAUAAUAGAAACUAACCAGGAUUCCCUUAGUAACGGCGAGUGAAGUGGGAAACAAUGCAUACGUCAAAUUUAUUUCGAUAAUUUUUUCGUAGCUCAGCCCGUCGAUAUAAUCCAUUCUUAGCGUGUAUGUACUUCGGUACUUUACGCUGGAAGGAAUUGUAGCAUCGAAUACACAUUCAAGUUGUAUCUACGCAUAACACACACAUACGCUCCAUACGCAUAUAUUUAUUUAUAUUCACUAAUUCAAACACACAGCGUUUAGCGCUGGAAAGCAAUUAUUGUAGUUUUACUACAGCCAUAGAGUGUGACAGCCACGUUUUAUGGAGUGAUAUAAUUAUAUGUCGUACACACAUCAUGCGUUUCAUAACCAAACGAUACGUAAUUCGUGAAUGUUGAACCUGAGUCGAGUUGUUU